AGCCUGGUGGUAUAGUGGCAGUAAUUCCCAUCAUAACGCGCUUUCGAGCAACGGACUUGGAUGGGAUGUCGGGAUUGGAAAUGGCGUGGGUUCAAAUCCCACCUGAGCCA